AUUAUUUCUCUGUCUGACUCUACGCAGCCAUAUGCCAAAAAACCUAAAUAAGAUAUUUUUCCCAUUUUAUUUCCCCUUUGUUCGUUAUUUGGUUCAGUUUAAUCAGAGCUAAGUUACCUUGUGUUACGUUGUUCCCUUGUUAGUUUAGUAUAAAGUUAAACUGCUAGCUAAAAGUUUAAAACCAAGAAGGAUAAUAUUAACAGGAGAUAUGAACGAAAGAAUUGAACCAUGAUAAAACACGACAUGCACUACAAAUUGAAGGUAUGAAAUUAAGUUAAAUGAAAGCUCGUUUAUUCACCAUAUGAUGCUCGUUAUAAGGUAAUCAUAUAGGCUAGAUACCGUGAGUUAACGAGGUCGUUUACAUGCACGUGAGUGCACGGAUAUCGUUUAAUUAUUCAAAUUACUGAAAAACACGGAGAAAACCGCAACCGCAUAGUCAUGUGUUUUUCUAAGAUGUAUGCAAACAGGGGAAAUAUCGCCAAACCAACAAUUAAUUUGACCAAAACCUCACAAUAUAUCAUCAUUUGUGUGCACAGAUUGGAUGCAUUGUGUGUUGUAAGCUUUUCAUGGCGCUAGAUGUCAGACAGAUGCAAAUGGCAAAUACAUACGAAAGUGUAAAACGUGUAUGGCGAACAUUUGUUUUUCUGUCAUUAUAGAUGCUAGUUUGGUGAAAGUACACACUGAGUGCUUCAAAUCAUUCAGAAGAGAUGCUGUUUUUAGGGCAGUUUAUUAAAGAAGACCUGACAUGGAUGACUUCCAAUGAGAAACGACUGCUAAUACUUAUAUAAAUUCAUUACAGAAGGACCCUACCAGACUAUAUUUGAAUACGGCAUACCCAUGAAUUCUGGAACUGUUAUUCCUUAACCCAGUUUGGAGGAUAAGAGCUUACCAACUAGUUAUAAAUAUGCUGAGGUGAUGUAUUGCAAAAUAGACAACAUAUAACAAUUAAAGGAUAAUUGCAGACUACAUCCUGAUGAAGAUAUGGAUGACCCUCUGUCUGGUCAACAGGAGUUUAAAUAUGGUGAGUGUACAUGGGUUUGCUACUUUUACGGUUUUAAAGUUUAACUGUAUACUCUUGGUGUUUAAAGGCGCUCUAAGCGAAUAAUGUGCGACGUCACUUCCUGUUGAUGUUUGAACUGUUUUCAAACAGACAGAGCGUAGCUAACUCCUCCCCCUCCCCCUCCCUUCCGUGCUUUCAUGAACGCGCCCAACCCCCACCCCCAAAUCCUUCUUGUCGUUUAUUGGCUGGAAUACUUUGUUUCGUUUUGUGCUGCUAGGUUUGGCCAUUUGUUGAUAUUGCCGUUUGUGAAGCCUGGGUUGUCUACAGAGAUCGCGUUUUUUUACAGUUUGAUCAGCGGACAGGCAGCAAGCAGAUAGUGAGGAGAUGUUUC